AUGUGGACAGUGAGAGAGAGAAAGGGCUUCCUUUGCCGUUGGUUCACCCUCCAAGGGCCGCCGCGGCCGGCGCGCUGUGACCGGCGCACCGCGCUGAUCCGAUGGCAGGAGCCAGGUACUUCUCCUGGUCUCCCAUGGGGUGCAGGGCCCAAGCACUUGGGCCAUCCUCCACUGCACUCCCGGGCCACAGCAGAGAGCUGGACUGCAAGAGGGGCAACCGGGACAGAAUCUGGCGCCCCGACCAGGACUAGAACCCGGUGUGCCGGCGCCGCAAGGUGGAGGAUUAGCCUAGUGAGCUGCGGCUCUGGCCCUGAGUAUUUUUACUUAUCAGUACAUCACAACAACUUUAGUAUGUUAGCACUCGAUACUGCUCAGAAUUUCUCCAUGUGUCGCAGGCACAGAGGCAGUAGAGCAGGGCAAUCCCUGGGCACCAACAGAGGCAACGAAGUUCUUCCCAGGCAGCAGCUGCUCCCCGGGACGGAGCAGCCACGGGGUCCUGUCCUUGGGGCAGCGAGGACGAGGGACAUCAACACCUCUUCUGGAAGGGCGAGGAUUCUGAAGCUGGGCAUCUCCGAUUACAUCUCCUGGGGAUGGACGAUCGUGGUGACCUGGGGGCAGCCAGAGAAGCCACGGGGUCCUGUCCUUGGGGCAGCGAGGACGAGGGACAUUCAACACCUCUUCUGGAAGGGCGAGGGUUCUGAAGCUGGGCGAAUUGGAAUCCAUCUUCCUGAGGAUGAUUGUGGUGACCUGAGGGCAGCUAGAGAGGCAAGUGGUCCUCUCCUUGUGGCACCGAGGAUAGGGGACAUUCAACCCCUUUUCUGGAAGGGCGAGGAUUCCGAAGCUGGGUGUCUCGGAGUCCAUCUCCCGGUGGACGAUCGUGGUGACCUGGGGGCAGCCAGAGAAGCCACGGGGUCCUGUCCUUGGGGCUGCGAGUACAAGGGACAUUUGAAACCUGUACAGGAAGGGCAAGGAAUCCAAAGCUGGGUGUCUCAGAGUCCAUCCAGCCCGGAUCUGCCACGGUCUCUUCCCCUCCUUAGACCCGAGUACAGAGCUGCACACAGCCAGCGCCCACGCUGCUGA
rnacentral:lncRNA from 1 species